rnacentral:rRNA from 1 species
AGAGUGAACGCUGGCGGUAGGCCUAACACAUGCAAGUCGAACGGCAGCACGGUAAGAGCUUGCUCUUAUGGGUGGCGAGUGGCGGACGGGUGAGGAAUACAUCGGAAUCUACCUUUUGGUGGGGGAUAACGUAGGGAAACUUACGCUAAUACCGCAUACGCCCUUCGGGGGAAAGCCGGGGACCAGCAAUGGCCUGGCGCUGAUAGAUGAGCCGAUGUCGGAUUAGCUAGUUGGUGAGGUAAUGGCUCACCAAGGCGACGAUCCGUAGCUGGUCUGAGAGGAUGAUCAGCCACACUGGAACUGAGACACGGUCCAGACUCCUACGGGAGGCAGCAGUGGGGAAUAUUGGACAAGUGGGCGACAAGCCUGAUCCAGCCCAUACCGCGGUGGUGAAGGAAGGCCUUCGGGUUAGUUAAAGUCCCUUUUAGUUAGGGUAAAGAAAAGACAGUUACGGUUAAGUACCCGGGUUGUUACGUCGUACGGUAACCCAAAGGAACUAAGACGACCGGACUAACGUCGU